rnacentral:rRNA from 1 species
CACCCAACAGCUAGCCUACACUCCAAAAAUAACAAACAACUAUAUAUAACACCCAAUUCAUUUAAAACUCAAACAACAAAACAUUUUACCUCCAAAGUAUGGGAGACAGAAAAGAAACUAUGCGCAAUAGAAAAAGUACCGUAAGGGAACGCUGAAAAAGAACUGAAAUAAAUCAGUUAAGUUAAAAAAAGCAGAGACUAACUCUCGUACCUUUCGCAUCAUGAUUUAGCCAGUACACUCAAGCAAAGCGUACUUUAGUUUGACACCCCGAAACUAAGUGAGCUACUCCAAGGCAGCCUAAUAAACAGGGCCAACCCGUCUCUGUAGCAAAAGAGUGGGAAGAACUUCGAGUAGAGGUGACAAAUCAACCGAACUUAGUUAUAGCUGGUUGCCUGAGAAUCGAAUAUGAGUUCAACUUCUCGGCUUCUUCAUACACAACCUUCUUAACACCCACCUAUAAGUUAUAAAAGAACACCAAGAAAGUUAAUCAAAGGGGGAACAGCUCCUUUGAUACAAAAUACAACUUUACAGGAAGGAUAAGGAUCAUAUUACCAAAGGUACUCUUCUACCCGUAGGCCUAAAAGCAGCCACCACAACAGAAAGCGUCAAAGCUCAUAUAAUACUCCAACCUCUCAUUCAGAUAACUAAUCCUACUCCUCCCAACCUUACCAGGCCAUUUCAUGCAUACAUGAAAGUGACCAUGCUAAUAUGAGUAAUAAGAGAACAUGCCUCUCUCCAUUGCACUAGUGUACAUCGAAACGAACCCAUCACCGAAAAUUAAUGGCCCCAAACAAAGAGGGUAUUGAACAUCUAAAAAAACAACUAGAAAACUAAUCAAUCAACACCAUUAAUCCCACACCCUGUGCUAAAAGGAAAGACUAAAAUAAAGAGAAGGAAUUCAGCAAACACCUCAGGCUCCGCCUGUUUACCAAAAACACCGCCUCUUGCAAACCCAAUAUAUAAGAGGUCCCGCCUGCCCCAUGACUACAUGUUCAACGGCCACGGUAUCCUAACCGUGCAAAGGUAGCGCAAUCACUUGUCUUUUAAUUGAAGACCUGUAUGAAUGGCAUAACGAGAGCUUAACUGUCUCCUCUUUAAAGUCAAUAAAAUUGAUCUUCCCGUGCAGAAGCGGAAAUAAAAACAUAAGACGAGAAGACCCUGUGGAGCUUUAGACACUAAAGCAGCCCAUACAAAAUUUCCAAAAAUACACUAAUUCCAUGAUUACCUGCCCUAAUGUCUUCGGUUGGGGCGACCAAGGGGAAAUAAACAACCCCCACGUGGACCGGGAAGACUCUUCCCAAAACCAAGAACCACAACUCUAACAAAUAGAAUCUCUAACCAUCUAACAAGACCCGGCAACGCCGAUCUACGAACCAAGUUACCCCAGGGAUAACAGCGCAAUCCCCUUUCAGAGUCCAUAUCGACAAGGGGGUUUACGACCUCGAUGUUGGAUCAGGACACCCCAAUGGUGCAGCCGCUAUUAAAGGUUCGUUUGUUCAACGAUUAAAGUCCUACGUGAUCUGAGUUCAGACCGGAGCAAUCCAGGUCAGUUUCUAUCUAUGACAUGCUUUUUUCUAGUACGAAAGGACCAAAAAAAGAGGGCCUAUACCACAAGCACGCCCUUCCCCCAACCACUGAAACAAACUAAACAGGCAUAAGGUCAUACCCUUAAAACUAAGAAUCAGAC